UUAAAAAGCUCGUAGUUGGAUUUCUGUUGAGGGCGACCGGUGUACACCUCGUGUAUUAUUUGGUUCGGUCUCGGCAUCCUCUUGGGGAACGUUUCUGGACUUUAUUGGACAGGGCGAGAUUCAAGACUUUUACUUUGGGGAAAUUAGAGUGUUCACGGCAGGCAAGCGCUUUGAAUACAUUAGCAUGGAAUAACAAUAUAGGACCUUCGUUCUAUUUUGUUGGUUUCUAGAACUUAGGUAAUGAUUAAUAGGGACAAUUGGGGGCAUUCGUAUUAACGCGUCAGAGGUGGAAUUCUUGGAUUGCGUUACGACGAACUACUGCGAAAGCAUUUGCCAAAGAUGUUUUCAUUGAUCAAGAACGAAAGUAUGGGGAUCGAAGACGCUUAGAUACCGUCGUAGUCUAUACCAUAAACUAUGCCAACUAGAGAUUGGUGGGGUUCUCCUAUUUGGCUCCAUCAGCAUCUUAUGAGAA
rnacentral:rRNA from 1 species